rnacentral:lncRNA from 1 species
GUGAGCUCGCCAGUGUUGGUGGAGGUGGGGAGGUCAUUGGUGGAAGUGGUGGAGAGCUUACAAGUGGCGGUGGUGGCGGGGGCUUCACCAGUGGAGGUGGAGAUCUUCUCGAAGUUGGUGGUGCAGGUGAUUUGAACUGUGGCGGUGGGGAUUUUGCAAAUGGGGGUGCUGAGCUCACGGGAACUGGCGGGGGAGGUGAGCUAACUGGUGCCGGUGGUGGAAGGAUUUUCACAGGAGGUGAUGGUGAAAUCACAGGAGCCGGUGGAGGAGGUGAUUUUACAGGCGGUGGCGGCGAGCUAACGGGUGCCGUUGGUGGAGGGGAUUUCAUGGGAGACGAUGGUGAAACCAUUGGAGCUAGUGGAGGAGGUAAUUUUACAGGUGGUGGCGGUGAGUUGACUGGAGUAGGUGGUGAAGAGUAUUUCACAGGAGGCGGUGGUGAGCUAACUGGAGCCGGUGGAGGAGGUGAUUUUACAGGUGGUGGUAGUGAGCUGACUGGAGCAGGUGGUGGAGGGGAUUGCGCCAGAGGAGGUGGUGAGCUUACUGGAGCCGGUGGUGGUGAUUUUAUAGGUGGUGGUGGUGAGCUGACUGGAGCAGGCGGUGGAGGGGAUUGCAUCGGAGGAGGAGGUGAGCUUAUUAGAGCUGAUGGAGGAGGUGAGUUUGCUUGUGGUGGGGGUGGCGACCUUAUCGGUGGUGGAGGAGGUGAUGAUUUCGUUAGCGGUGGAGGUGACCUCACCGGCGCUGGUGGCGGCGGCGAACUUAACAGUGGUGAAGGAG